UCCUCAUCUAUUCACCAACAGCCACUCUUAUGUAAACUGAAUCUGCAUCAUCAUAUUUCCACCAACAGCAAGUCUUAUGUUAACUGAAUCGGCAUCAUCAUCUCUCCACCAACAGCCAGCCAUAUGUAAACUGAAUCAGCAUCAUCAUCUCUCUACCAACAGCCAGUCUUAUGUUAACUGAAUCGGCAUUCUCAUCUAUCCACCAACAGCCAGUCUUAUGUAAACUGAAUCAUCAUCAACAUCUCUCCACCAACAGCCAGUCUUAUGUAAACUGAAUCAGCAUCAUCAUCUCUCCACCAACAGCCAGUCUUAUGUAAACUGAAUCGGCAUCAUCAUCUCUCCACCAACAGCCAGUCUUAUGUAAACUGAAUCGGCAUUCUCAUCUAUCCACCAACAGCCAGUCUUAUGUAAACUGAAUCGGCAUCAUCAUCUAUCCACCAACAGCCAGUCUUAUGUUAACUGAAUCGGCAUCAACAUAUUUCUACUAACAUCCAGUCUUAUGUAAACUGAAUCAGCAUCAACAUCUCUCCACCAACAGCCAGUCUUAUGUAAACUGAAUCGGCAUCAUCAUCUCUCCACCAACAGCCAGUCUUAUGUAAAUUGAAUCAGCAUCAUCAUAUCCCCUUCAACAGACAGUCUUCUGUAAACUGAAUUGCCACAACAUCUCUCAACCAACCUGCUGGCUUAUUCUGAAUUAUUAUCCUCAUCUCAUAACCAACAAACAGUCUGGCAUAUAUUAAAUAAGCAUCAUCACCUCUUUACCAACAAACAGUCUGGCAUACACUGAAUAAGCAUCAUCUUCUUUCACCCAAUCAUGAGCCUAGUGUGUACUGAAUAACCAUCUCUCUACCAACAAACAGUCUGGCGUAUAUUGAAUUAGCAUCAUCAUCUCUCAACCAACAAACUGUCUGGCAUAUUCUGAAUAAGCAUCAUCAUAUCUCAGCCAACAAACGUCUGGCAUAUAUUGAACUAGCAUAAUCAUCUUUCUACCAGCAAACAGUCUGGCAUAUAUACUGAAUGAGCAUCGUAAUCUCUCUACCAACAAACAGUCUGGCAUAUACUGAAUAAGGAAUAUCAUCUCUCAACCAACGAACAUCCUAGUUGUACUGCACUACAAUCCUCAUCUCUAAACCAACAGUCUGGCAUUAACUGAAUCAGCAUCACCAUCUCUCUACCAACAAACAGUUUAGAAUAUACUGAAUAAGCAUCAUCAUAUAUUAAGGAACAAACAGUAUGGCAUAUCCUGAAUUACCAUCAUCAUCUCUCAACCAACCAACAGUCUAGCAUAUCCUGAAUAAGCAUCAUCAUAUAUCAAGGAACAAACAGUAUGGCAUAUCCUGAAUUAUAAUCAUCAUCUCUCUACCAACCAACAGACUAGCAUAUACUGAAUUAUCAUCAUUAUCUCUCAACAAACAACAGUCUGGAAUAUACUGAAUAAGCAUCAGCAUCUCCCAACCAACAAAAACUCUGGCAUAUUCUGAAUUACCAUCAUCAUCUCUCAACAAACAACAGUCUGGCAUAUACUAAAUUAGCAUGAUCAUCUCUCAACAAACAACAGUCUGGCAUAUACUGAAUUAGCAUCAUCAUCUCUCAACCAACAAACAGCAUAGUAUGUACUGAAUUAGCAUCCUCAUCUUUAAACCAACUAGCAGUCUGGCAUAUAUUGAACUAGCAUCGUCAUAAUCCUACAAACAAACAGUCUGGCAUAUACUGAAUUAGCAUAAUCAUCUCUCUACAAACAGACAGUCUGGCUUCUACUGAAUUACCAUUCUCAACUCUCAUGCACCAAACAGUCUAGCAUAUACUGAAUUAGCACCAUUAUCUUUCAACCAACAACCAGUAUGGCAUAUACUGAAUAAGCAUCAUUAUCUUUCAACCAACAAACAGUCUGGCAUAAAUUGAAUAAGGAACAUUAUCUCUUAACCAAGUAACAGUCUGGCAUAUAUUCCAUUAGCAUUAUCUUCUAUACCAACAAACAGUCUGAGAUGUACUAAAUGACAAUCCUCAUGUCUCAACUAACAAACAGUCAUAUACUGAAUAACCAUCAUCAUGUUUCAACAAAUAAAACAUUUGGCAUAUACUGAAUUAGCAUCAUCAUCCUUCAACCAACAGUCUGGCAUAAACUGAAGAAACAGCAUCAUCUUUCAACCAACAAACAGUCUGGUAUAUACUGAAUAAGCAUCAUCAUCUCUCAACCAACAGACCGUCUGGCAUAUUUUUAUUCAGCAUCAUCAUCUUUCUACCAACAAACAGUCUGGCUUAUACUGAAUUACAAUUUCAUCUCUCAACCAACAGACAGUCUUCCAUAUAUACUGAAUAAGCAUCAUACUCUUUCAACCAACUAGAAGUCUGGCUUAUACCGAAUUAGCAUUAUCAUCUGUCAACCAACAAACACUCUGGCAUAUACUGAAUUAGCAUAAUCAUCUCUCUACCAACAAACAGCCUGGCUUAUACUGAAUUAGCAUCAUUUUCUCUCAACAUACAAUAGUCUGGCAUAUACUGAAUUAGCAUCAUCAUCUCUCAACUAACAAACAGCAUAGUGUGUACAGAAUUAGCAUCUUCGACUCUAAACCAACUAGCAGUCUGGCAUAUAUUGAACAAGCCUCAUCAUCUCUCUACCAACAAACAGUCUGGCAUAUACUGAAUAAGCAAAAUCAUCUCUCAACCAACAAACAGUAUGGCAUAUACUGAAAUAGUUAAAUCAUCUCUCAACCAACAAACAGUAUGGCAUAUACUGAAUUAGUAUCAUCUUUCAACCAACAAACACUCUGGCAUAUACUGAAUAAGCAUCAUCAUCUUUCAACCAACAAACAGUCUGGCAUAUACCUAAUUAGCAUCAUCAUCUUUCAACCAACAAACAGUUUGGCAUAAACUAAACAAGGAACAUUAUCUCUUAACCAACAAACAGUCUGGCAUAUAUUCCAUUAGCAUUAUCUUCUAUACCAACAAACAGUAUGGGAUGUACUAAAUGACAAUCCUUAUGUCUCAACCAACAAACAGUCAGGUAUAUAUAAAUUCAGCAUCUUCAUCUCUCAACCAACAAACAUUCUGGAACUUACUGAAUUAGUAUCAUCAUCUCUUUACCAACAAACAGUCUGGCAUAUACCGAAUUACCAUCCUGAUGUCUCAACAAGUCACCAGUCUAGCAUAUACUGAAUAAGCAUCAUCAUCUCUCCACCAACAGUCAGUCAUAUACUGAAUAACCAUCAUCAUGUUUCAACAAAUAAAACGUUUGGCAUAUAUUGAAUAAGCAUCAUCAUCCUUCAACUAACAGUCUGGCAUAAACUGAAGAAACAGCAUCAUCUUUCAACCAACAAACAGUCUGGUAUAAACUGAAUAAGCAUCAUCAUCUCUCAACCAACAGACCGUCUGGCAUAUAUUGAAUAAGCAUCAUCAUCUUUAAACCAACAAACAGUCUGGCAUAUACCUAAUUAGCAUCAUCAUCUUUCAACCAACAACAGUCUUGCAUAUAUACUGAAUAAGCAUCAUACUCUUUCAACCAACGAGAAGUCUGGCUUAUACCGAAUUUAGCAUCAUCAUCUGUCAACCAACAAACACUCUGGCAUAUACUGAAUUAGCAUAAUCAUCUCUCUACCAACAAACAGCCUGGCUUAUACUGAAUAAGCACCAUUUCUCUUAACAUACAAUAGUCUGGCAUAUACUGAAUUAGCAUCAUCAUCUCUCAACUAACAAACAGCAUAGUGUGUACUGAAUUAGCAUCUUCAUCUCUAAACCAACUAGCAGUCUGGCAUAUAUUGAACAAGCCUCAUCAUCUCUCUACCAACAAACAGUCUGGCAUAUACUGAAAUAGCAAAAUCAUCUCUCAACCAACAAACAGUCUGGCAUAUACUGAAUUAGUAUCAUCUUUCAACCAACAAACAGUCUGACAUAUACUGAAUAAGCAUCAUCAUCUUUCAACCAGCAAACAGUCAGGCAUAUACCUAAUUAGCAUCAUCAUCUUUCAACCAACAAACAGUCUGGCAUAUACCUAAUUAGCAUCAUCAUCUUUCAACCAACAAACAGUCUGGCAUAAACUAAACAAGGAACAUUAUCUCUUAACCAAGUAACAGUCUGGCAAAUAUUCCAUUAGCAUUAUCUUCUAUACCAACAAACAGUCUGGGAUGUACUAAAUGACUAUCCUCAUGUCUCAACCAACAAACAGUCUGGUAUAUAUAAAUUCAGCAUCUUCAUCUCUCAACCAACAAACAAUCUGGUACAUACUGAAUUAAAAUCAUCAUCUCUUUACGAACAAACAGUCUGGCAUAUACCGAAUUACCAGCCUGGUGGGUACUGAAUCAACAUCAUGAUCUCUUAAGCUAAAAACAGCCUAAUGUGUACUGAACUAGCAUCAUCAUAUCUCCAACUACUGACAGCAUGGUGUGAUCUGAAUCAACAUUAGCACAUCUCAUUAUUAGACAUACUUGUGUGAACUGAAUCAGCCUUCUCAUCUCUCCAUGACAGAUAACCAUGUUUAAAUUUCAUCAGCAGCAUCAUCUCUCAGCCAACAGACAAUCUAGUAUCGACUUAAUAAGCCUACACAUCUCUCCACCAACAGACAGCCUGGUCUAAACUGGAACAGCCUUUUAAUCUAAAAACUAACAGCCAGCCUGGUCUGUACGGAAUCAGCGUCCUCAUCGCUCCAUUUACAGAUAGCCUGGUGUGUACUGAUACAGACCUCCAUAUCUCGUGAUCAACAGAUAUCAUGGUUUGUACUGAAACAGCUUUUCAUCUAUCAACCAACAAACAACCUGGUGUGUUAUUAAUCAGCAUCAUCAUCCCUCCACCAACAGAAAAAACAGCUGAGGCCAACAAGAAUUGACUUUUAGGAAUGAUGUUUGUGCCAUAUGAUAAGUAACAACUACUUAAGUUUAUUUUUCCUACACUUUUAGUUGUGACCUGCAGCAGAUAUUUUAGUCAAUAUUUCACCAUUGUAAAGCCCUGCAGCUGAAGAAUCUCAGAAAAUGCUAAGUAUUUUACUGCUUUACCAUAAUGCUUAUAAUAUAUAUGAUUAAAGGUUUACCACAGCUUAUAUAAAAUUUUGUUUAAAGGUACUAUAAUUGACGCUUAAAUGUUGGCGUAAAAUGCAAGUUUUGUUUUAAUUAGCUUUAAGGAUUAUUGUUAAAAUAGUACAUACAAAAAACUUGAAACCCUAUUUUUAUAUGACCAUAAAUUUUGGCGGUCUUGCUGCUAUUCAACAUUAUCGGCCACAAAUAUAGUUUCCUGACUAAAACUGAAGUAUUUGCUCAAUUGUUAAUAAUUUUAACUUAACGUAAAUGAAUGUGUGUAUCGUGAGUUUCUCUCACUGACAACACUGGAUAAUAGCUAAGUGCUAUAUGCUAAUGACUAAAAAAUUAACCUUGUUAAACUUAUAUUUUGUGACUUCAAUAACUUGUAUUUAAAAGGAAAGUUACAAACAUAUGUUAAAUAAAAAUAUAGAUUCUAUCUCAAUGAAACUGAAUUAAUCACGGAAUGUAAAAUAUAUUUCUGUUUGAUUUUGGUUUUAUUAUCUCAAGAUGAUCUAGGCC